GACGAACCGUGCAAACGUUGUUCGGAAUCACUGGGCUUAAAGGGCGCGUAGGCGGCCAGCACACGCCCGUUGUGAAAUCUCCGAGCUUAACUCGGAAAGGUCAACUGAUACUGUGCGGCUAGAGUGCGGAAGGGGCAACUGGAAUUCUUGGUGUAGCGGUGAAAUGCGUAGAUAUCAAGAGGAACACCUGCGGCGAAGGCGGGUUGCUGGGCCGACACUGACGCUGAUGCGCGAAAGCGUGGGGAGCGAACAGG
rnacentral:rRNA from 1 species